UUUACACAUGCAAGUCGAACGGUAACGCGGGGGCAACCCUGGCGACGAGUGGCGAACGGGUGAGUAAUACAUCGGAACAUAUCCAGUAGCGGGGGAUAACCUAUCGAGAGAUGGACUAAUACCGCAUACGAUCUACGGAUGAAAGCAGGGGACCGCAAGGCCUUGCACUAUUGGAGUGGCCGAUGUCGGAUUAGCUAGUUGGUGGGGUAAAGGCUUACCAAGGCGACGAUCCGUAGCUGGUCUGAGAGGACGAUCAGCCACACUGGAACUGAGACACGGUCCAGACUCCUACGGGAGGCAGCAGUGGGGAAUUUUGGACAAUGGGCGCAAGCCUGAUCCAGCCAUGCCGCGUGAGUGAAGAAGGCCUUCGGGUUGUAAAGCUCUUUCGGUGAAGACGAAACGGUUAGCGCUAAUAACGCUGACUAAUGACGGUACUCACAGAAGAAGCACCGGCUAACUACGUGCCAGCAGCCGCGGUAAUACGUAGGGUGCAGGCGUUAAUCGGAAUUACUGGGCGUAAAGCGUGCGCAGGCGGUUUGCUAAGACAGGUGUGAAAUCCCCGGGCUUAACCUGGGAAUUGCGCUUGUAACUGGCAAGCUAGAGUGUGGCAGAGGGGGGUGGAAUUCCACGUGUAGCAGUGAAAUGCGUAGAUAUGUGGAGGAACACCGAUGGCGAAGGCAGCCCCCUGGGUUAACACUGACGCUCAUGCACGAAAGCGUGGGGAGCAAACAGGAUUAGAUACCCUGGUAGUCCACGCCCUAAACUAUGUCAACUAAUUGUCGGGGAAGAAAUUCCUUGGUAACGAAGCUAACGCGUGAAGUUGACCGCCUGGGGAGUACGGCCGCAAGGUUAAAACUCAAAGGAAUUGACGGGGACCCGCACAAGCGGUGGAUUAUGUGGAUUAAUUCGAUACAACGCGAAAAACCUUACCUACCCUUGACAUGCUAGGAAGCCCGCAGAGAUGUGGGUGUGCCCGAAAGGGAACCUAGACACAGGUGCUGCAUGGCUUCGUCAGCUCGUGUCGUGAGAUGUUGGGUUAAGUCCCGCAACGAGCGCAACCCUUGCCAUUAGUUGCUACAUUCAGUUGGGCACUCUAAUGGGACCGCCGGUGACAAACCGGAGGAAGGUGGGGAUGACGUCAAGUCCUCAUGGCCCUUAUGGGUAGGGCUUCACACGUAAUACAAUGGUCGGUACAGAGGGCUGCCAACCCGCAAGGGGGAGCUAAUCCCAGAAAGCCGAUCGUAGUCCGGAUUGUAGUCUGCAACUCGACUGCAUGAACCCGGAAUCGCUAGUAAUCGCGGAUCAGCAUGUCGCGGUGAAUACGUUCCCGGGUCUUGUACACACCGCCCGUCACACCAUGGGAGUGGGUUCCACCAGAAGUAGUUAGCCUAACCGCAAGGAGGGCGAUUACCACGGUGAGAUUCAUGACUGGGGUGAAGUCGGAACAAGGUA
rnacentral:rRNA from 1 species